GACGAGGGGUCCUAGCGUUGUUCGGAAUCACUGGGCGUAAAGCGUAUGUAGGCGGCUCUUCAAGUCAGAUGUGAAAUCCCUUGGCUCAACCAAGGAACUGCAUUUGAAACUGUAGAGCUUGAGUAUCGGAGAGGGUGGCAGAAUUCCUGGUGUAGUGGUGAAAUACGUAGAUAUCAGGAGGAACACCGGUGGCGAAGGCGGCUACCUGGCCGUAUACUGACGCUGAGAUACGAAAGUGUGGGGAUCAAAC
rnacentral:rRNA from 1 species